GUAACUCUGGAGAAGCUCGAUUCGAGUGCCGAAGGUGCAACGCGGUUUUUUUAGGCCGCCAAUCUCUCAGGCAAAAGGACAGAGGAGGA
rnacentral:ncRNA from 1 species